UGAUUAUUGUAAUUAUGUCUCCAUAAUGCA
rnacentral:piRNA from 1 species